AACUAACGCUAUUAUUGAUACAGUUUCUGUACUAUAUUGGUACGCGAAGCUUCCAAAUCCGCGAGUCGCGGUUAUGUUUGGUCAAUUUCUUUUGACCGGGGUCCACGGACCCUUUUUUUUUUUUUUUUUUUUU
rnacentral:misc_RNA from 1 species